CAGAGAUAGCUUGCUAUCUGCUGACGAGCGGCGGACGGGUGAGUAAUGCUUGGGAAUAUGCCUUAUGGUGGGGGACAACAGUUGGAAACGACUGCUAAUACCGCAUAACGUCUACGGACCAAAGGGGGGGAUGCUUAGGCACCUCCCGCCAUUUGAUUAGCCCAAGUGAGAUUAGCUAGUAGGUGAGGUAAGAGCUCACCUAGGCGACGAUCUCUAGCUGGUUUGAGAGGAUGAUCAGCCACACUGGGACUGAGACACGGCCCAGACUCCUACGGGAGGCAGCAGUGGGGAAUAUUGCACAAUGGGCGAAAGCCUGAUGCAGCCAUGCCGCGUGUGUGAAGAAGGCCUUCGGGUUGUAAAGCACUUUCAGCGAGGAGGAAAGGUUAGUGGUUAAUAGCCACUAGCUGUGACGUUACUCGCAGAAGAAGCACCGGCUAACUUCGUGCCAGCAGCCGCGGUAAUACGAGGGGUGCAAGCGUUAAUCGGAAUUACUGGGCGUAAAGCGUGCGUAGGUGGUUUGUUAAGCAAGAUGUGAAAGCCCUGGGCUCAACCUGGGAACUGCAUUUUGAACUGGCAAGCUAGAGUUUUGUAGAGGGUAGUGGAAUUUCCAGUGUAGCGGUGAAAUGCGUAGAGAUUGGAAG
rnacentral:rRNA from 1 species